AUUUUCUCAUCAUCAACUCACUGAAGCCGAAUCUGUGGUACAGUGAAGCUGAGUUUUUAGCCUGUUAAGUGAUGGCUUUUUUGAAGUUUGAUUUCUUGCUUCUUCCUUUGUAUACACUUCCCAAUUUAAUAUCAUAUCGCUGCUUACUAUUCCCCAAUACAUGGUGAUACACAUUCUUAAGGUAAAAAAUGUUACUGUUUGAAAACAAUUCUAUUGUAUGGUUAUAAUACUCUAAGUCUAUAAGCUUGUAGGGCUUCUCUGGUAGUGCAGCUGGUAAAGAAUCUGCCUGCAGUGUGGAAGAUCUGGGUUCGAUCCCUGGGUUGGGAAGAUCCCCUGGAGAAGGAAAUGGCAACCCACUCCAGUAAUCUUGCCUGGAGAAUCCUCAUGGACAGAGGAGCCUGGCGGGCUACCGUCCACGGGAUCGCAAAGAGCCAGACACAACUGAGCCGCUAAGCACAGCACAGCAGUAUAUCAUGUGAAACACUGGACUGGAUGAACCAUAUGCUGGAAUGAAGAGUGCCAGGAGAAAGGUCAACAACUUCAUGUAUGCAGAUGAUACCACUUAAUGGUAGAAAGUGAAGAACUGAAGAGCCUCAUGAUGAAAGUGGAAGGAGGAGUGGAAAAACUGCCUUGAAACUCAAUAUUCAAAAUACUAAGAUUAUGGUCUCCAGUUCCAUCACUUCAUGGCAAACAGAAAAGUGGAGGCAUUGACAGAUUUUAUUUUCUUGGGCUCCAAAAUCACUGUGGAUAGGUGACUGCAGCCACGAAAUUAAAAGAUACUUGCUCCUUGGAAGGAAAACUGUGACAAACCUAGACAGCAUAUUAAAAAGUAGAGACAGCAAUUUGCUGACAAAAGUCUGUAUAGUCAAAGCUAUGGUUUUCCAUUAGUCAUGUACAGAUGUCAGAGUUGGACUAUAAAGAAAGCUGAGCACCAAAGAAUUGAUGCUUUCAAAUUGUGGUGUUGGAAAAGACUCUUGAGAGUCCCUUGGACUGCAAGGAGAUCAAACCAGUCAAUCCUAAAGGAAAUCAAUACUGGAUAUUCAUUGGGAGGAUUGAAGCUGGGCUGAAGCUCCCAUACUCUAGCUGCCUGAUGUGGAGAACCAACUCACUGGAAAAGACCCUGUAUGCUGAGAAAGAUUGAAGACAGGAGGAGAAGGAAGCUGCUGAGGACGAGAUGGUUAGAGAGCAUAGCAUCACUGACUCAGUGGUCAUGAACUUGAGCAAACUCUGGGAGAUGGUGAAGGACAGGGAAGCCUGGCAUGCUUCAGUCCAUGGGGUCACAGAGUCGGAUAUGACUUAGCAACUGAACAGCAGCAGCAGC
ensembl:lncRNA